rnacentral:rRNA from 1 species
UGGGGAAUUUUGGACAAUGGGCGAAAGCCUGAUCCAGCAAUGCCGCGUGUGUGAAGAAGGCCUUCGGGUUGUAAAGCACUUUUGUCCGGAAAGAAAUCCUUGGCUCUAAUACAGUCGGGGGAUGACGGUACCGGAAGAAUAAGCACCGGCUAACUACGUGCCAGCAGCCGCGGUAAUACGUAGGGUGCAAGCGUUAAUCGGAAUUACUGGGCGUAAAGCGUGCGCAGGCGGUUUGCUAAGACCGAUGUGAAAUCCCCGGGCUCAACCUGGGAACUGCAUUGGUGACUGGCAGGCUAGAGUAUGGCAGAGGGGGGUAGAAUUCCACGUGUAGCAGUGAAAUGCGUAGAGAUGUGGAGGAAUACCGAUGGCGAAGGCAGCCCCCUGGGCCAAUACUGACGCUCAUGCACGAAAGCGUGGGGAGCAAACAGGAUUAGAUACCCUGGUAGUCCACGCCCUAAACGAUGUCAACUAGUUGUUGGGAUUCAUUUCUUAGUAACGUAGCUAACGCGUGAAGUUGACCGCCUGGGGAGUACGGUCGCAAGAUUAAAACUC